GAAGUGGAGCGCUCCGGUAGUUUUUGUGUUCCGCGGAAUAUGUAAGGGACUCCUGAGACGGUCCAAUGAAGUGUGUGGGAUGAAGACAAAAACCCUGAAGCCAACUUCACUCUUAACAAUUUAAUUUGAAAAGGGCCCUGCAGUGCCCUCUUCGCUGCUCCCACAGCGCCGCGCGAGCCCGGGGCUGAAGCCGAAGCCGGCCCUCCGCCAGGUCGACCACCGGCUCCGCCGCACAAGCAGUGUCCUCAGAGAAAGGCGGCCAGAACAAAGCCCCCGCUACGCGUUCCUGCCUCAGAUACAUUCUCGGUGCCCACGUCGCGGCUCCGGGCCCCCAGGGCUCUCUUUCUAACACUCCAUCAGCCAGGACCCUCCCCGCCUCCCAUUCCAGUCUUCCUCUCUUGGGAAGAGGGCGCAGCAAGGCCGACGCCAGGCUGGCCGCACCCCCACCCCGCCAUCGCGACUCGACGCCAGGCGUCCAUACCCCUCUGCGUACCGGUGUUGGGGGCGUAGGUGGCCCUGGAAAAAGCUGGGAGAGGAGCGCGGACCCUCGCUGCAGACCUCACGCCAAGGUUACCAUCACAUCUAGGAACCUCUUCGGAAAAGGUCCAAAAUGCCUAUUUUGCAGAAAGCUUGCUGUGGUGUGAAGGGGCCUCGAGGUCAGAAAACCCCCUAAGAGGCCUCGUAAGGUCUGGGUGCAGAGUCAAGCCCUGCUCAGGCCCAUUUCUCCCGCGCACUCCAGGUCCCGCACUUCCGGUCCCCCUGGGGGGGGGGGGCCCUGACCCUCCCUUCCCCAGCACUUCCGGCCCGUGGGCUUCUGAGUUCCCUCUCAGUCACUCAGCUGAGGGAUAUCUUUGAGAGCUGAUUUCUGUAUCUUUGCGGUAGCUAGUGGAAAUUUUACCUGUUUCCUUCAUUUCUUUUUACUUUGACUUUAAUUUCAUGGCUUCCUUAAACUUGGGAGUGAUGGGCGAGUCAGGGGAGGGUGGGGGUCAGGUCGGAGGAAGGCUUGGGGUGGCGAGAAAAAGCCCAUUGCAGAUAAAUCUCUUUUUGUCUUUUCAGAUCACCUCCCCCAUUCUGAAUUUCCAGCACAAUUUCACAUCAGCAACUGAAGUUUAGGCGUUUUCCAGCAGGGUCUAGGCAAGUGUCUGCACCUAGUAAGCAUGCAAUAAAUGUUGAAAGAAUUACUGAGUAGUUUAUGCUGCUCUGUUAGGCAUAGGAUUCUUAGAGAUGGUAGGUAUCCUCAGAAAUCAGCUGACCUUUGACCUCUGGUGGUUUUGUUGAAUUCGGUUGAGACUGAUAAAUAAAUGGACUUAGGAACUUAUUUAUUUAUUUAUUUAAGGGACUCCCGAAAGCAGUGGGAAGAAAUCUCUUAGAGUUAUUGAGAGUGUUUUCUUGAACUUCUUAAUAUAUAUGAGGUAAAAUGCUGUGAAUUUUUAGGUUUUUUUUUUGGUCUUUUUAGGGCCACAACUGUGGCAUAUGGAGGUUCCCAGUCUAGGGGUCCAAUCCGAGCUGCAGCCACCGGCCUAUGUCACAGGCACAUCAAGGCGAGAUCUGAGCCAUGUCUGCAACCUACACCACAGCUCAGAGCAAUGCCAGAUCCUUAACCCACUGAGCAAGACCAGGGAUGGAACCCACAACUUCAUGGUCCCUAGUCGGAUUCGUUAACCACUGAGCCACAAUGGGAACUCCAGAAUUUAGGGGGUUUUAUGAGCCCUUCCAUGACUUUUUCUUAACAUUUUGCUUUCUUUUUAAAGUAUUACUUUCUGUGCUAAGAAGUCAUGGCAUUAUGAAGUUAACUCUUAUAGCUACUUUGAGGCAGAAACUGAGAGAUUUCUCUUUUGCUUUCUUGAUGCUAUAGCUUAAUCCUUGUCAAACUUAAUUCACUUCUGUGUUGUGUCUUCUGCAUCAUUCAGCUCUUCUUGUUCUUUGUAAUAACAUUUGUUUUAAAAUGCUAUAAGAACUUUAUGUAACCAGGAGAGAAAUUGCAUAGUUGGGAAGUUGUGACUGGGUUCAGUCAGUCAGCACAUACUAAAUGCAUAUUUUGCUGAGCACAAGUUGUGUAACCUACAGACUAGUCCCUCAGGCAUUUAAUGUCCCACCCUCAUUGACUCUAAAAUAGUGAAAAUAUAUAACCAAUAAGCUAGUAACUGUGAAAGUAAUUUUGAAAGGUUAUACUUGCUAAUCAAAUUUAAAGUGUAUUUAUUAGCAUCGUUAUUAAGAGGCAUCAGAAGGAUACAAAUAAGACCUGUUCUUAUCCUCUGGGAACUUACAGUCUAGUUGGGCAUAAAUAAUGUAAAUGUAAGUUGAUAGAAACAGCUACUAAGCAAUAUUCAGUGUCUGGUUUAUUGAAAACAUUUGCCUCACAAAUUAAUUUGCAGUCAUGUCAUUUUUUAACAGAAAUAUGAUACCAAUAAGAAAUACAGGAAGAAUUAAUUAGGAAAACUUUCAUGGAGAAAAUGCAUUUAUCCUUAUGUGCCACAUAGGAAGGUUGGAAAUGCAAGCUGUUUGUGUUCUGGGUGGGGGUGGGGUAAAGGUGGCAUAAAUGGAGAAAGAGAAAGAUGUUUGAUGAGACGGAGUUUGGUGGUAAUUUGUAGGAAAGCUUAAAGAUCCUGUAGAGGCGUUUGUAUUUCAUAGUAGAGGUGAUAGAAACCUAUGGUGGCCCUGUGAGCAGAGGAUGGCAUGAUUAAAAUUGAGAUUUAUAUUUAAAAUGAUUUUAGCCAGCAACUGAGCAUAGUGAAAAUUGAGGGAGAGUGAAAAAAGAAAGGGAGAAAAGAUUUUAGUACAGUUCUGGAAUGGUGUAGUUCUCUAUUACUACAGAGUCAUCAUUAGUCUCUUUCUCCCCAAUUUUUAUACAAUGGAAACUGCAUUGAAAUGUUGAAAUCAGUAAUGAACCUUGAAUGGAAUAAGAGCCAUAGACCACUGGAAUACAUUUUGUCACUUUAUUCUUCAUUUUUGCUAGAGCUAGGAGAUGUUAAGUGUUGACUGAUAGUGACUACAGGAUGUGUUCAUCACUAGUUAAAACUCAAAAUCUUUCUCAUUUGGUAUAUUUACCCAUUAUUCAAUUUCAGUGGUUCUCAACUGGAUGUGAUUUUGACACACACCCUGACCACCAUCAGGCACAUUUGGCAAGGUCUGCAGACGUUUUUGUUGUAACAACUAUGGGGCCACUACUGGCAUCUAGUAAGUAGAAGUUGGGAUAGAUAUUACUAAAUGUCUUACAAUUUACAGGAGACCUCCCCCCCAUAACAGUGAAUUAUCUGGUCCCAAAUAUCUAUUGUGCUGAGGUUAAGAAACCUUCAGUUAUGGGAAUGAACCAUGAGCUCUAACUCUGGAGAGCUACACAAGAUGUCCCAGAACCCAACUUCUAUUAGAGCAACAAUUUCAAUUGAAGAAAUGUUUAAUUUGUUUAGUAAGUCAAAUGUACCUCUGAAAAUGAGUGUCUCUACUUAGCCCUGAAGCCUUAGAAAUAGAACAGUCAGAAGGGUACCUGCUUGGAUUUUCUACUUUUUAUAAAAUGUUGUUGGAAAUCUUCCUUAAAGAUUUGUCAUCUAAUUGUUAUUUAUUAAAUUAAUAAAAUGUGCUUUUGGAGUUGCUUAGCAACUUAAGGAAAGCUUGCUUUUUAGAAGUUCAUUUGUUUGUUUAAAACUAGGGUAGGUUGCAUAUUAUUAGCUACAUUACAUAAAUCAACAAAGAAAUUUACACUGAAAAUGGAAUAAGAUUUUUCAGCACAUUUUCUGCUUGCCAUGUCUGGCAAUUAAAACACUCUAAUUGUCUGGUAGAAUUGCAUCACGUAUUCGACAAACAUUAUUUAUGUAUGAAACUUCAGCAUAAUAUUGAGUAUGUAAGAGAACCAAAGGGGAAAAAUUCAGCAGGUUUGUCAUAAAGUAUGUGUUUAUCUUAACCUUUCUUCUUCAAAAAUCUUAUCUACUAAGUACUUUUAUCAGACACUAAUUAUACUCUUUCUGAAAAGAAUUUCUCCAACACCCUUCAGUGCCUGCACCCUUUAAUCAUAUCUCAUUACAUCUACCUAAUCCAUAUCUUUUUCACAUUGCCAGGGCUCAUUAACAGUUUUAAAAGCUAAUCUUAAUCUUGGACAUUAUUAUUCCUUGUAAUCUAGAUGAAAAUAAUGCCAAUAAUAUUUUAUUUCUAAAAUUUAAUGGAUCAUUUAAAAUUUGUUCUGAAGCCAUUUCUUCUUUAAAUAUUAAUGAGAAAUUAACUUUCAAACAUGUAUUAAACUAGCAAGAUCAGUGAAAUGUGUCUGAAAACCCUGAAGCACCUUUUUGAAGGAGAAGUUAUUUUUAUAAGUUGUUUUAACAGUGGAUCAUCAGUCACUUUGAAGGGAAGUGAUCCUUGAUUAACAGUUGGCUGAUAUUGUGCUUCCACAGAUGUGGCAGUAAUACAGGUGCUACCUAUGAAACAGGACAGGUAAUUCACAGGAUCUGAGGGUUUGUUUUUCUGAUUGAAAAAUGUGAAAGUUUUUAGCCUUCAUCUUUGGAUAUUACCCCAUUAAGUUGUAGACAAGACAAACAAAAUGUUCCACUCAAAUAAUGAACAGUAGGCACCGUGUUUACUAUACAUUUAAAGAUUGGCUGGUGUUUUAUUCUUUUUGAUUUUCCGUUUUUAGUAAAGGAAAUGGAUCAAAUGUGCAGUUUCAUGACUAAAGUAGAGCCUCGUGAUGAUGACUUUUUAGGACUUAAAGUCAAAUCCUGCCUCCCAGAAUAUAACUGCAUAGAACUAAUGUAUUAUUCUCGAUGGAAGAUUCCUCCAAUCUCCAACAAACUGAGAUUGUUUCUUGAAAGUAAUCUUUAAAAGUCAUAGGAAAAUUUUAACGGUCCAUUUAUUUAUUCAUACACUUUUUAGGUAUAGUGUUUUAAUAAAGCCACAAGCCAAAAGUCAUUAUCCAAAAAAAAAAAAAAAAAAAAAA
ensembl:lncRNA